GGUUAAGUUAGAAAGGGCGCACGGUGGAUGCCUUGGCACUAGGAGCCGAAGAAGGACGGGACUAACACCGAUAUGCUUUGGGGAGCUGUACGUAAGCGUUGAUCCAGAGAUUUCCGAAUGGGGGAACCCACUAUCUUUAGUCGGAUAGUAUCCUUACGUGAAUACAUAGCGUGAGGAAGGCAGACCCAGGGAACUGAAACAUCUAAGUACCUGGAGGAAGAGAAAGAAAAAUCGAUUUCCUGAGUAGCGGCGAGCGAAACGGAAAGAGCCCAAACCAAGAAGCUUGCUUCUUGGGGUUGUAGGACACUCUAUACGGAGUUACAAAAGAAAGUUAUAAAUGAAGCGGUCUGGAAAGGCCCGCCAAAGACGGUAACAGCCCGGUAGUUGAAAUGGCUUUCCCUCCAGAGUGGAUCCUGAGUACGGCGGAACACGUGAAAUUCCGUCGGAAUCCGGGAGGACCAUCUCCCAAGGCUAAAUACUCCCUAGUGACCGAUAGUGAACCAGUACCGUGAGGGAAAGGUGAAAAGCACCCCGGAAGGGGAGUGAAACAGUUCCUGAAACCGUGUGCCUACAAGUAGUUAGAGCCCGUUAAUGGGUGAUAGCGUGCCUUUUGUAGAAUGAACCGGCGAGUUACGAUUUGUUGCAAGGUUAAGCGGAAAAAGCGGAGCCGUAGCGAAAGCGAGUCUGAAUAGGGCGCAUAAGUAACAGGUCGUAGACCCGAAACCAGGUGAUCUACCCAUGUCCAGGAUGAAGGUAAGGUAAUACUUACUGGAGGUCCGAACCCACGCACGUUGAAAAGUGCGGGGAUGAGGUGUGGGUAGCGGAGAAAUUCCAAUCGAACUUGGAGAUAGCUGGUUCUCUCCGAAAUAGCUUUAGGGCUAGCCUCGAGGUAAAGAGUCAUGGAGGUAGAGCACUGUUUGGACUAGGGGCCCUUCUCGGGUUACCGAAUUCAGAUAAACUCCGAAUGCCAUGUACUUAUACUCGGGAGUCAGACUGCGAGUGAUAAGAUCCGUAGUCGAAAGGGAAACAGCCCAGACCACCAGUUAAGGUCCCCAAAUAUAUGUUAAGUGGAAAAGGAUGUGGGGUUGCUUAGACAACCAGGAUGUUGGCUUAGAAGCAGCCACCAUUGAAAGAGUGCGUAAUAGCUCACUGGUCGAGUGACCCCGCGCCGAAAAUGUACCGGGGCUAAACAUAUUACCGAAACUGUGGAUGAACCUCUUUAGAGGUUCGUGGUAGGAGAGCGUUCUAAGGGCGGUGAAGUCAGACCGGAAGGACUGGUGGAGCGCUUAGAAGUGAGAAUGCCGGUAUGAGUAGCGAAAGAAGGGUGAGAAUCCCUUCCACCGAAUAUCUAAGGUUUCCUGAGGAAGGCUCGUCCGCUCAGGGUUAGUCGGGACCUAAGCCGAGGCCGAUAGGCGUAGGCGAUGGACAACAGGUAGAGAUUCCUGUACCAGUGCUAAUUGUUUAACCGAUGGGGUGACACAGAAGGAUAGGGAAUCGCACGAAUGGAAAUGUGCGUCCAAGCAGUGAGUGUGAGAAGUAGGCAAAUCCGCUUCUCGCGAAGCAUGAGCUGUGAUGGGGAAGGAAAUUAAGUACGGAAGUUCCUGAUUUCACGCUGUCAAGAAAAGCCUCUAGGAAGAGUAGUACUGCCCGUACCGCAAACCGACACAGGUAGAUGAGGAGAGAAUCCUAAGGUGAGCGAGAGAACUCUCGUUAAGGAACUCGGCAAAAUGACCCCGUAACUUCGGGAGAAGGGGUGCUCUAUUAGGGUGCAAGCCCGAGAGAGCCGCAGUGAAUAGGCCCAGGCGACUGUUUAGCAAAAACACAGGUCUCUGCAAAACCGUAAGGUGACGUAUAGGGGCUGACGCCUGCCCGGUGCUGGAAGGUUAAGAGGAGUGCUUAGCUUCGGCGAAGGUACGAAUUGAAGCCCCAGUAAACGGCGGCCGUAACUAUAACGGUCCUAAGGUAGCGAAAUUCCUUGUCGGGUAAGUUCCGACCCGCACGAAAGGCGCAACGAUCUGGGCACUGUCUCAACGAGAGACUCGGUGAAAUUAUAGUACCUGUGAAGAUGCAGGUUACCCGCGACAGGACGGAAAGACCCCGUGGAGCUUUACUGCAACCUGAUAUGGAAUGUUUGUACCGCUUGUACAGGAUAGGUAGGAGCCGAAGAGACGUGUGCGCUAGCAUACGAGGAGGCAAUGGUGGGAUACUACCCUGGCUGUAUGACCAUUCUAACCCGCCACGCUUAGCGCGUGGGGAGACAGUGUCAGGUGGGCAGUUUGACUGGGGCGGUCGCCUCCUAAAGAGUAACGGAGGCGCCCAAAGGUUCCCUCAGAAUGGAUGGAAAUCAUUCGCAGAGUGUAAAGGCACAAGGGAGCUUGACUGCGAGACUGACAAGUCGAGCAGGGACGAAAGUCGGGCUUAGUGAUCCGGUGGUUCCGCAUGGAAGGGCCAUCGCUCAACGGAUAAAAGCUACCCCGGGGAUAACAGGCUUAUCUCC
rnacentral:rRNA from 1 species